UACGUAGGGUGCAAGCGUUAAUCGGAAUUACUGGGCGUAAAGCGUGCGCAGGCGGUGAUGUAAGACAGAUGUGGAAUCCCCGGGCUCAACCUGGGAACUGCAUUUGUGACUGCAUCGCUGGAGUGCGGCAGAGGGGGAUGGAAUUCCGCGUGUAGCAGUGAAAUGCGUAGAUAUGCGGAGGAACACCGAUGGCGAAGGCAGCCCCCUGGGAUAACACUGACGCUCAUGCACGAAAGCGUGGGGAGCAAACAGG
rnacentral:rRNA from 1 species